UCCGUUUGUUAUGGUGUGUGUAGGGGUUGGAAAUCUUGUGCCUUAGGAUGAGGGAUUUCAUGGUUAGAUCUUGCUUUAUCUGAAGCUUCAGAAGUCUUCUCCACGGAUAAUCCAAGCAGGCUGGUAUUUUAGAAGAUGUGAAAGUGUUGUUGAUAUAAUUCCUAUGGCUAUUAUGAGAUUGAGAUGUCUAAAUUCUACCUUGCCUUUCUUGGAUUCUCCGACAAUUACUUGGCUACUUGCUUUCCUUUUUUGUAGUUGAUUGCUAUCCCGUAACUUGCACAUUUUCUGUUACAGUUGUUUUGUCUCCAUGGAACUCUGCUUGUUGGAUUUAGG
rnacentral:lncRNA from 1 species